rnacentral:rRNA from 1 species
AACGAACGCUGGCGGCAUGCCUAACACAUGCAAGUCGAACGAGACCUUCGGGUCUAGUGGCGCACGGGUGCGUAACGUGUGGGAACCUGCCCUUAGGCUCGGAAUAACACUCCGUAAGGGGUGCUAAUAUCGGAUAACGUAUUCGGACACAAGAUUCAUCGUCUUUGGAUAGGCACGGGAUGGUUUAGCUUGUCGGUAGGGUAAAAGCCUAUCAAGGCGAAGAUAAGUAGCUGGUCUGAGAGGAUGAAAAGCCACACUGGGACUGAGAAAAGGCGAAGACUGCUAAGGGAGGAAGCAGGGGGGAAUAUUGGACAAUGGGCGCAAGUCUGAUCCAGACAUAUCGCGUGGGUGAAGAAGGCUUUCGGGUGGUAAAGCCAUUUUGUUGGGAAAGAAAAGCAGCAGGUUAAUACCCCGCUGUUCUGACGGUACCCAAAGAAUAAGCACCGGCUAACUUCGUG